AAGAAGACCAGUAUGUACAUAAAGAAACCUUAUUACAACUGUUUACACUUUGUCAAAACAACGUUCGAUCGUUGCGAUCUGACUGGAUUAACUUUCAAUUUCCAUAACUUAUCUGUUGCGAAGGAAGACGGGGGAUCGGUUAUUGUUACCGAUCGAUGACUAAUCCGCUCUGGAAUCGUUAGUAUUCGCUACGUAAGGGCGCUAACUGACUCGAUUAUAGUUCGGGGCCCGCGAGAACAAAGGACCACCAACGUGACAAUUGAGCUUCAUCGCGCUGAUAUAAAGUUACAGAUGCGAAGGGAGAAAAUGAGAGGCGAAUAUUAAGUCGGCAUACAAAAUGGCCGUCGCGAAGUGUGGAAAAAAAUAGGGAUGCGUUAGCUCCUCUCGCUUCUGUGUACCACAUGCUGGUUCACAGAAUGCAAUGCGCGUGGGGGUCGAAAGACGUGACGCGCAUGCGUCAACUACACGGAUCGAAAGCUCCGCCCGGUGACUGCCUUUGUUUAAUCCACGGUACCUACGCCCACGACAUGUGGCCAACAAACUACGAAUUUGUCUCUCGACGGGAUCCUAAUCUUGGAUUGCAAUACGCCACAGAUGCUAAAAAGCAUGACGUGAGUGGGAAUUCGAUGACGCGAAAUAUGCCAGCGUUUAUGAGUGUGUUGUUGUCCUUUUUUUAAUAACAAAGAAUAUAUAUAAUGACGAGAAUGUACAUUAAACGAAAAGUAGAGAAGAAAUUUUCCCUCUAAUUAUAAUUGGAAUCGAUCUAUGUUUUACAUAAAUCAUUCAGUUUCACCUCAAAUUCUUCACCUUCUGGGUCAGUAUCCCAUCCAAUAUACAAAUCACUGGAGGAGAUAAGGUGCUUUUAAUACUGCAGCAAUGUUUCGUCAUUACCCGAAGGCAUAACUAACAGAAAGGAAGUGGAAAUGCAAAUCAAUCCGUAAAUCAAAACAUUGCUCAUGUCGGAAAUAUGAAACUCCCUGUAAACGGAAAUAUCCGUGCACCCUGGAAAUCUGCAGCAGACGCAAUGCACAAACGUGUAACCUGGUAAUUGAAACGAAAAUAUAUGAUGAAAUGGCAAAAGAAAA